GACGAACGCUGGCGGCGUGCCUAAUACAUGCAAGUCGAACGCAUUUUCUUUCACCGUAGCUUGCUACACCGAAAGAAAAUGAGUGGCGAACGGGUGAGUAACACGUGGGUAACCUGCCCAUCAGCGGGGGAUAACACUUGGAAACAGGUGCUAAUACCGCAUAAUUCCAUUUACCGCAUGGUAGAUGGAUGAAAGGCGCUUUUGCGUCACUGAUGGAUGGACCCGCGGUGCAUUAGCUAGUUGGUGGGGUAACGGCCUACCAAGGCUGCGAUGCAUAGCCGACCUGAGAGGGUGAUCGGCCACACUGGGACUGAGACACGGCCCAGACUCCUACGGGAGGCAGCAGUAGGGAAUCUUCGGCAAUGGACGCAAGUCUGACCGAGCAACGCCGCGUGAGUGAAGAAGGUUUUCGGAUCGUAAAACUCUGUUGUUAGAGAGGAACAAGGAUGAGAGUGGAAAGUUCAUCCCUUGACGGUAUCUAACCAGAAAGCCACGGCUAACUACGUG
rnacentral:rRNA from 1 species